GACAAAUAACACAUUAUUGAAAUGCCCUGAUAAGUGCUUUUCAUAGAUAAUACUAUGGAAUUACAGAGGAGGGGCACUUAAUCCAGACUGGGAGGGGCAUAAAAGGGGAAUGCACUACUUCCCAUAACAAGAAGUUCUACAUUGGGACCACACCACUCCAGGAUUGAUUCAUUCAAUGGCUCAUAAAUCUGCCAUCCUCAGGACCCAGUGAUGUCCAAGGACUGAAAAGGAUUGUGUGUCUCUACUUAUUAGCUUGAGAAACCUUGCCAGAGGUCCUUGGACGCUUUCUACCUAUUUGCCCAAAUUAGAUAUAUCCCUGGCAAGGUGAAUGAGUGCCUUAGAUCAGUCCCAAUUCCCUUCUGUAGGCCUGAAGCUAGAGAGACUUAGCAGGAAGAUGGAACUUACCCAAAAGUAGAGCUCUGCCAGCAUGGGAAAAAGGAAAAGUGCCUGCAACAGGAAAAACAACAAAGAGAGAGAGGUGGAGAGGAACACGCCAAAGAAAGAGAGAGAGCCCACACUAUCCUAAGCUCCUGAAUGCACUGUGACAUCCAGGUGUCCUGGGGAAGACAUAAACACAUCAUACAGCACCCACAGGAACUUCAAGAGACUGGAGUUAAUAAAGAGAUUAAAGAGAUUAAC
rnacentral:lncRNA from 1 species